rnacentral:piRNA from 1 species
CCGGAUGUAGAAAGGAGACCCAAGCCCC